CAACUCAAGAGACUGGGGGGCACCUGGCCGUAGAGCUUGCCCGGCAGCAGGGAAAUCUUCCUCUUGUUCACUCUCUGCCUCAGAUAAUGCUGUGAAGUAGGCCGUGGUCAGCGCCAUCUUGGAAAGUGAAGGUUGUUGUGGCAGCCGCAGUAAAGUCCCCAGAACGGCGCCUCAUAGUCUGCUAGUGCUCUGAGGGUAUGAAGGAGUUAUGUAACAACCCUCUGAGUUGCUGUUUUAGCCACAGACCUAGACAGGAGUCCAGAG